rnacentral:rRNA from 1 species
AUUGCCUUAGUAGCGGCGAGUGAGCGGCAAAAGCUCAAAUUUGAAAUCUGGCGCCUUCGGUGUCCGAGUUGUAAUUUGAAGAUUGUAACCUUGGGGUUGGCUCUUGUCUAUGUUUCUUGGAACAGGACGUCACAGAGGGUGAGAAUCCCGUGCGAUGAGAUGCCCAAUUCUAUGUAAGGUGCUUUCGAAGAGUCGAGUUGUUUGGGAAUGCAGCUCUAAGUGGGUGGUAAAUUCCAUCUAAAGCUAAAUAUUGGCGAGAGACCGAUAGCGAACAAGUACAGUGAUGGAAAGAUGAAAAGAACUUUGAAAAGAGAGUGAAAAAGUACGUGAAAUUGUUGAAAGGGAAGGGUUUGAGAUCAGACUCGAUAUUUUGUGAGCCUUGCCUUCGUGGCGGGGUGACCCGCAGCUUAUCGGGCCAGCAUCGGUUUGGGCGGUAGGAUAAUGGCGUAGGAAUGUGACUUUACUUCGGUGAAGUGUUAUAGCCUGCGUUGAUGCUGCCUGCCUAGACCGAGGACUGCGAUUUUAUCAAGGAUGCUGGCAUAAUGAUCCCAAACCGCCCGUCUUGAAACACGGACCAAAAA